ACCACAUCACACCAUCACACCACACAUCACAUCACACACCACAUCAUAUUACAAAUAUUACAUACAACAUAUCACAUCACACCACACAUCACAUCACCACAUCACACCACACACAUAUCACCACAUUACACAUCACACAUCACAUUGCACAUCACAUCACACAUCAUACCACAUCACAUAUCACACCACACAACACAUCACAUGUCACAUCACAUUCACACAUCACACAUCACAUCACAUUACAUCACACAUCACAGAUCACAUCACCACAUCAGACCACAAUGAGAAGUUCCCAGCGCCAUCAUCGUUCAUAUGAGGGACUCACCACCAGUGUUUUCUGCUUUACCAGGAACCCCAGUAGUGUCAGUGCAGCAGCCUGUGGUGCCCGUGUUCUAAAAGCCUCGGUCCCUGUACGCUCCCACUCUGCCCACAGAGGCCCGCUUGGGUCUGGCUCACCUGAGUUUGUUGUUGCAGUAGGAGCAUCGGAAACAGCUGAUGUGAAACACCUGCUGGUUGGCCAGGAGCCGUUCCAUGGGAUACACCGUCUUCUGACACUCCACGCAGCUCUCUCUUGCGGGUGCCUGAAACUUCUAGACAAGGAAGCAGACAAUUUCAGCCGCGGCACUGAUGACUUGGUUACCCUGCCGAGACGGGCCUAGGAGUUAAUUCAUCUAAGGGCCAUUCUCAAAGGAACCACACCUGCUCGGAUUC
rnacentral:lncRNA from 1 species